AGUCGCGUAAACACAUGGCGUUUACGACUGUCUGGGAAGCCUGACGCCGUGACCUCCCGACGCCGCGAGACUCAAGGAAUGAACAUAAUAAUUUCCUACUAGUAUGAAGGAGUUGAGGCAUACUGUUUUUUUGUUUGUUUUGUUUUUUGUUUUUUUAAAAAGCAUAUUCUAGUUUCUAUCUGUAACUCGUUUCUAGUUCUGCCACCGCGAUGCCGAAGGCGCCCAAGCAGCAGCUGCCGGAGCCCGAGUGGAUCGGGGACGGAGAGAACACGAGCCCAUCAGGUGAGGCUGGUAGGCAAGGAAGACACGAGAGGAAGGGGAAGAGAGAGGAGACUGCGCGUGUUUUAGGAGAGGGUCAUGGGGCGCGAGACUGACUGGGUCAUGGGCAGAAAAGACAGUGCAGACCAAUGGCUAAGGGAGAGGUCUGAUCGGUCCAGUGUUGAAAUGUGUCACAAAAUCCCGAAGUGUACAAUUGUAAACAGGGAACUGGAGCCCAACAUGCAGAAGUCACGGUGCAGUGGAGCUUCGGUUCAUUUAUUUUUUUUGGUAACAGCUUUACUGAGAUAUAAUUGACAUACAAUAAACUGUACACAAAAUAAAAUGGCACCCAAAAUAAACUGCAAAGUAUCACUUAAA
rnacentral:lncRNA from 1 species